rnacentral:rRNA from 1 species
UACGUAGGGGGCAAGCGUUGUCCGGAUUUAUUGGGCGUAAAGAGCGCGUAGGCGGCCACGCACGUCCGUUGUGAAAUCGCCCGGCUCAACUGGGCGGGGUCGGCGGAUACGGCGUGGCUGGAGCAAGCUAGGGGGCAAUGGAAUUCCCGGUGUAGUGGUGGAAUGCGUAGAUAUCGGGAGGAACACCAGUGGCGAAGGCGGUUGCCUGGAGCUUUGCUGACGCUGAGGCGCGAAAGCGUGGGGAGCGAUCCGG